rnacentral:tRNA from 1 species
AGCAGCGUGGCUCAGUGGAAAGAGCCUGGGCUUGGGAGCCAGAGGUCAUGGGUUCGAAUCCCUGCUUCUG